rfam:Capsicum annuum cultivar Zunla-1 chromosome 9, whole genome shotgun sequence
UAUUAAUGAUGGGGAUAAUUUUUGAGUAGAAACUUGAAUCUCUCUCAUGCAUGAAAAAGAUUAUCAUCUAGAUUUUGUUUGAAACUCGGGAUCUCACUCCUCAAUCU